rnacentral:rRNA from 1 species
GAUGAACGCUGGCGGUCUGCUUAACACAUGCAAGUCGAACGGGGUGCUUCGGCACCUAGUGGCGGACGGGUGAGUAACGCGUGAGGAUCUGCCCUUAGGACCGGGACAACAGCUGGAAACGGCUGCUAAUACCGGAUGUGCCGGAAGGUGAAACAUUAAUGGCCUGAGGAUGAACUCGCGUCUGAUUAGCUAGUUGGUAGUGUAAUGGACUACCAAGGCGACGAUCAGUAGCUGGUCUGAGAGGAUGACCAGCCACACUGGGACUGAGACACGGCCCAGACUCCUACGGGAGGCAGCAGUGGGGAAUUUUCCGCAAUGGGGGCAACCCUGACGGAGCAAGACCGCGUGGGGGAAGAAGGUUUGUGGAUUGUAAACCCCUUUUGAUUGGGAAGAAGACAGUGACGGUACCAAUCGAAUCAGCAUCGGCUAACUCCGUGCCAGCCGCCGCGGUAAAAC